AUACGGAGGGUGCAAGCGUUAAUCGGAAUUACUGGGCGUAAAGCGUACGUAGGCGGCAAGUUAAGUUAGAUGUGAAAGCCCCGGGCUCAACCUGGGAACUGCAUUUAAAACUGGCUUGUUAGAGUUGAGUAGAGGGGAGUGGAAUUUCAGGUGUAGCGGUGAAAUGCGUAGAGAUCUGAAGGAACACCAGUGGCGAAGGCGACUCCCUGGACUCGAACUGACGCUGAGGUACGAAAGCGUGGGUAGCAAACGGGAUUAGAAACCCCAGUAGUCC
rnacentral:rRNA from 1 species